UCGACGAGAAUCUUUGGAAUGAUUCUUUCGGGAUGAAUUCCAAAGAGGAAAGUGGCGGACGGGCGAGUAACGCGUGAGUAACCUGCCCAUAAGAGGGGGAUAAUCCAUGGAAACGUGGACUAAUACCGCAUAUUGUAGUUAAGUUGCAUGACUUGAUUAUGAAAGAUUUAUCGCUUAUGGAUGGACUCGCGUCAGAUUAGAUAGUUGGUGAGGUAACGGCUCACCAAGUCAACGAUCUGUAGCCGAACUGAGAGGUUGAUCGGCCGCAUUGGGACUGAGACACGGCCCAGACUCCUACGGGAGGCAGCAGUGGGGAAUAUUGCGCAAUGGGGGCAACCCUGACGCAGCAACGCCGCGUGCAGGAAGAAGGUCUUCGGAUUGUAAACUGUUGUCGCAAGGGAAGAAGACAGUGACGGUACCUUGUGAGAAAGUCACGGCUAACUACGUGCCAGCAGCCGCGGUAAUACGUAGGUGACAAGCGUUGUCCGGAUUUACUGGGUGUAAAGGGCGCGUAGGCGGACUGUCAAGUCAGUCGUGAAAUACCGGGGCUUAACCCCGGGGCUGCGAUUGAAACUGACAGCCUUGAGUAUCGGAGAGGAAAGCGGAAUUCCUAGUGUAGCGGUGAAAUGCGUAGAUAUUAGGAGGAACACCAGUGGCGAAGGCGGCUUUCUGGACGACAACUGACGCUGAGGCGCGAAAGUGUGGGGAGCAAACAGGAUUAGAUACCCUGGUAGUCCACACCGUAAACGAUGGAUACUAG
rnacentral:rRNA from 1 species